ACCUACACGGGUUAUAUAACAGAGAUCGGCUCGUACAUACUGAUUCAGAGGAGGAUCAACAGUGAUGAAUUACUGAGCAAAGUCGUGAAGAGGCCAGUCAUCUUAAACUACAACUGUUGACGAGUUGUUUGCCUACUUUGCUUUGAGUCCAGCCUACAGCUCGUCAGGACAUGGGAGGCGAGCAAAGUACCGCAAGCAGCGAGGAAAAAAUUGUUGUAAAGACUGUAGACGGACAUGAAAUUUAUAAUAAGUCAAGUAAAUACACUUUAUCAGGGCCCUCUAAGCAGAUAGAAGAAAACAUAAAAACGAGAGGUUUUCAGCAGAAUGAAGAGAUGAAGUUUGCAAUCCAUCAGGUGAUUGGACACCAAGACAGUCUAGGGAGAAUGCUGCAAUACCAGGACUUGCCUCGAAGAAUGUUGAAAGAAAACUAAAUACUCUUCAUCCAGAGAAACGGAUAAGCCUCUGCUCUUCGUAUCAAAAACUAAUGAUGAUCACAUAUAAUGGGUGGACAAAUGACAAAAUCUAAUCGUGAUUUAUUUGUUACAAGUGAAGAAAUAACGACUGUAACAGCACUAGAUGGUACUAAGUUUAUUGCACAGCAGUCACAAGUCAUAGAGAACGGGAAGCUGAAGCAGUUUAAACGUGGAGGGGACAUGUACAGCUCGCCCACACCUGGUCAGGGUGAGAAGCUGAUGUUCUCUCGUCAUGAUGAGUACGACUCUACAAAGGCAAAAGAAGGACAAACUGAAGCUGCUACAAAAAGGAACAUAAAGAGUGAAGUGAAAGACAAAGGCAGGGGAGAAAUGCAAGGGAAGAAAGUGCCAUCUUUCCAUUGAAGCGUGGUAAAGGAUAUUUAAUUCUUACCUGUUUUACCUGGUAUAUUUUAUGGACUUGGACAACAUAAUUUACAGUUACACUUACAAAAAUCUGGUAACUCUAUGUUUUUAGCGUCUUUUUUAAAAGUAUAGGUCACCGCUAUUCACAUGCAGACUAAUGAAGUUUAAAACAUCUGCUGAAUUUUGCUAACCUUGUUAACUUUUUGGAUCAUUAAGUGACCAAGAAACUUUUCACUGAAUGAUAAGGUUGAAUUAUUACUUUCGAUUUCCACUAAGCUAGUUGAAGGUUAAUCUGCUGUCAUGGGGAACAGACAGGUAAAACUGUUAUGUCACAUGCGCGUUCGUAGUGUUAAAGGAACGCUAAUCAGCAAAAGAGAAUGGGAGCUUACCGAUGAAGUGUAUCACAUGAAACAGGUUUGCUACAAACGAUUACGAAAGUCUUUUGAUGAUGCUGUGGAAGGCUGCAGGUGUGUUACCGAUAUCGCCAAUGAAGUUAAAGAUGUGAUCUGGAAAGUUGAUGACACAUUUGACGAAUACGAUACACAGAUCGUAAUCAUAGAAAUUUUGGUUUAUGAUUCAAUAAACACCGUUGCUCAAGUCGUAAUUAAGCACCUGAAGUUCAAUAAUCUUGACGCUAGUGCUGUCCGCGACAUGCUGAGACAGGAACAGAAAAAUGUUGAAGAAUGUUGUGAAAACUUGAUGCGGGGUUACCAUUCAACGAGGAUGCUGACAUGGAACUGAGUGCUGGUCCUCUUGAGCUGCUUACACACCUGGUUUUCUGUAGGGAACGAAAACUGUCUUUUGGCCAUGUGCUUCCACUUGUCCGAGACACGUGCAUUGUUGCAUACGUUUCAACUGUACUGACGAUAAGUACAUAUAGAGAGGACAACGUGGACAAACUUCUAUGAUUCACGUUUCUAAGCGUUUGUACCUUUGAAAAUAAUUAUUUAAAAAAGACGACUUUUUGCAGUAGAAAGUGGAAUGCAUAACUUAUGUCGGCUUUUUUUUACAAAUAGACAAUAUGGUAAAUGAGGUAACUUUAUUGACAUAGAAAGUGUUAUCAAACUAUGACCGAGUUUUGGAAAGUUGUUUGUCAAGGUCCCAGGAAACGAGUAGUUUGGGGGUGGGGUGGUAAAAGUUGAGACACUGAAACUAGGAUAAACAUAGUAAGUCUACAUGUGUUUGAGAAGACCUUGCUAAUACAUUUGUCAAUACAAUGAGGUUAGGACAUUUUGAAGGCUUAACGCUUUUCGGUACUUUGCACAGUUAAGAAAGUCACACACUCCUGUUAAGGAGGAGUUUGUUUUCGCCAUGGUUGUUGAGAUUAACCGACAUUUCUUGACAUAGGCUAUUUAAACGUAUCCUCUACUUUUUCCAAUACUUCUGUAGACAGGUCUUUUUAUCUAACAAGCAACUACAUUGUGACUUUAGAACCUAUUGAUGUAACAAUGGAGGCAGUUAGAUGAGUAUAUCUUAAAAAGGCGGGACAUCUUCUGUCUGCUUUCCUGCAUUGAUCGACAGAAAUAUCUUUUGUAUUCACCACCUAUUCUACUAAGAAACCUUUUAUCGGAAGGAGAUGAUACACUUGUGACACUUAAUGAUGUUUUAAAUACGUUGAUUUGUUAAUAUGUAUGGUGGUUAUUCGGGUUGUAAAGUUUAUUUCCUUAUUAUUUUGUUAACUUCGUUCAUGGUAAACCAAUUAAUGUAUGCAUUUCUUAAAUUUCUCAAUAAUUUAUCUUCAGCUUGACCAAACAGAAGGUUAAAAUUAAAGAAGAAUAACGAAAUAAAUAUCACUAAUAACAUUGAUUAAUUUUUUUGAAGCGAUUGUCAGAUUUUAUCUCGAAAUAAAUCAUCAUGUUUCUGAAAAAAUAAAACUUGUCAUAGAAGGCAAGCCGGUGAUUAGAAGAUUAUUGAUAUAAGAUGUAUAACUGCGAGGUCAAGUGUCAGCUCUUGUAUUUUCAUUAACAAAUUUUAAAUGUAAUUUUUUGCGCACAUAAUCCUUUCCAUUUGGAAUUUGCACUAAAAAUAAGAUCCAUGAGACAUCCACUAAAUUCUGUUGUUAAAAUUAACAAGAUUUUAAUAAGGAGUACAAGGUCGUAAGACAAGAUGUAAGAAAAUGGAGAAUCUGUGUAAAAUUUUGUUUUAUUUUUCAUCUUUGGUGCUUAAUUUUUUACAUGGCUGCCAGACUAACAACUAUAAGCUACUUAGCUGCUUUUCAAGGUAACCAGCUGUGUCUUUAGUGUCUUUCUUAAGAAUGUUAUUCUCUUUCAAAUGCUGUGCGCCAUUGUUGUUUAUUUACUAAGCUUGCUUACAGGAUUAAGCUAGGUAAGCAUCUUGGUUCUUUCUGCCUUCUCGUCUCUGUGUUCUUUUAUGUUCCUAGCAGUGUUCACUGCAGAUUUGUGUUUGUAUGACUUAUGAUGAUUUUCUCUGUAAUAAGGUAUCACUACCACCUGUUCUGUAAAUUUUUUAAAGCGCAUUGACCUCGGCUCCCUAUAGGAAAAUACGUUAUAUGAAUCCAAAUAUUAAUACAAAUUCUUAUCUGAAGUUUAACAAUUAUAAAAAUCAUUAUAGAACGUAAACCGUGAAGAUGUCUUUUAAUUGUUGUUACAAAUUCUUAUAUUUCACUUAUUUAGCUCUUUUUCAUAUUUAGGCUCAAUACUUUGAAUGAUUAAAAUGCUGAAAAAUAAUGAUACCAAAUCCCUUUGAAAAAUAUCCAGAAGAGAUCAAAUAGCGUUUCACGUUCAUACUUUUCUGAUGUUAUUUGUCACCUGCCACACGUGUUUGCAAAGAUGCACGCUCCUGUCAGCCAUCAUUAUUAACUAGCUUAUAAAUUAUCACCUUACAUAGGCACUUACAAAUUCAUGAAUCACACGUCUCCCUCACAACACACACAAAAACACAAACAAAAACACAAAAAACAAAUACAAACACAAAUACAAAUACCAACACAAAUACAAACACAAACACAAACACGAACACAAGCACACACGUGCGCGCGGGCUCUCUUUCUCUCUCACACACACAAAUUGCAAUUUAAGAUUGAUUGAAUUAUCUAGUGGUCUAAUUGCCGAUUUUUAUAUUUACACUAGAAGUGGUUUUUCAUCAUAUUAAACAGUCUGUUAGCACC
rnacentral:lncRNA from 1 species